AUUGAACGCUGGCGGCAGGCCUAACACAUGCAAGUCGAGCGGAGCGGCGGACGGGUGAGUAAUGCCUAGGAAUCUGCCUGGUAGUGGGGGAUAACGUCCGGAAACGGGCGCUAAUACCGCAUACUAUCAGAUGAGCCUAGGUCGGAUUAGCUCGUAGGUGGGGUAAAGGCUCACCUAGGCGACGAUCCCUAGCUGGUCUGAGAGGAUGACCAGCCACACUGGAACUGAGACACGGUCCAGAAUCCUACGGGAGGCAGCAGUGGGGAAUAUUGCACAAUGGGCGCAAGCCUGAUGCAGCCAUGCCGCGUGAGUGAUGACGGCCUUCGGGUUGUAAAACUCUGUUAAUCGGGACGCGGUACCGGAAUAGAAAGCCACGGCUAACUACGUGCCAGCAGCCGCGGUAAUUC
rnacentral:rRNA from 1 species